rfam:Postia placenta Mad-698-R POSPLscaffold_226_Cont7281, whole genome shotgun sequence.
GGCCUUGUAGUGUAGUGGUAUUAUCACUUGGGAUUUUGAAGGUCGAUCCCUCGUCGAUCGCACUGAAUUCUUCCCAAAACCCAGGUUCGAACCCUGGCAAGGCCU